UGGGGAAUAUUGGACAAUGGGGGCAACCCUGAUCCAGCAAUGCCGCGUGUGUGAAGAAGGCCUGAGGGUUGUAAAGCACUUUUGUAGAGGAGGAUGGUGAGCUAGGUUAAGAGCUAGGUUCAUUGACGUUACUCUAAGAAUAAGCACCGGCUAACUCCGUGCCAGCAGCCGCGGUAAUACGGAGGGUGCAAGCGUUAAUCGGAAUUACUGGGCGUAAAGGGUGCGUAGGCGGUUAAGUAAGUUAUCUGUGAAAUCCCUGGGCUUAACCUAGGUAGGAAAGAUAAUACUGUUUAACUAGAGUGUGAUAGAGGAUAGUGGAAUUUCCGGUGUAGCGGUGAAAUGCGUAGAGAUCGGAAGGAACACCAGUGGCGAAGGCGGCUAUCUGGAUCAACACUGACGCUGAGGCACGAAAGCGUGGGGAGCAAACAGG
rnacentral:rRNA from 1 species